UUCUUCUGCCAUCAUUUAAUAACACAGUUUUCUCUCAACAUAAAACACAUGCUGCAUAUUUAAAUAUGAAACACUGAUCAAAUAAAUACACCUGGAAAAAUGAAAUGGGAGAAGAGUUAUGCAGUCCUUGUUCCGUCCUACCACCAGGCAGAGCUCUCCAGGACAAAGGCUCAAAAUCUCUGCAAAUACUCUACUAUUAAACCCAUCUCAUUCUCCUGAAUUUGGAGGAAAUAUUUCUGUUUUCUGCCAUGGAAAAGACAAUCUUUCAUCAGGAAGAACUGUUUGCUGUCUGUUUCCUUCUCCAGGAGUGGAGAGGACAUGCAGGAGGAUUUUUGAGGGUAGCAUAUCUGAUUAAUUUAAGCACAUAUUAUUGACUGAAAUAAAAGAUUUCAGAUGAUUGAGGUGGAAGUGGUGAAGUGAUUGAAUAGGCUGAGAGCUGUCAGAUCCGCCAAUUAGGAUCAGUGUCAGCCAUAACCUUGAAUCUCUUUGCUCUACUUGGUGCAACAGCAUCAUUGGUGCUUCAAGAUAAUUUCUUGGGGCUUAUUUAAUGUGAAGCUUAAUGAAAAUACUCUACUUCAGAGAGAGACUGCUUUUCAGUCCUGGGUAAAUACAUGCAAACACUUUUUUAAAGGACUUGUUAUUCCCCCACUAGCUGUCAGAGCUCCACCACAAACCUCUCUCUCUAAGUGAUAAACACUCAUUUAUAAACUUCAUUGCCAGUCUGUAUAAUUUACCCGAGAAGCCAGAAUAGGUUCUGCAGCUCUGGUGCAACUCCAGACAACCACGUACAUCAUUUUCAAGAGAGCAGCUACAUAUCAGAAAAUCUUUUGAAUGUUGGUAAAUGUGUCAAUGUACCACAUAUGUUUCUCAGUGUAGUAACUCAGCUGUUUCAUUUCUCUCUUUUGCUCAAUAUUCAGCCCCUUGAGAGUUCCGACCCUGGCUCCAGUUUGGCAGUUUCACAUACAUAAAAGUCUUGUUCGUGCAAGUUUUGUGAGCCACCAGACAAAAAUAAGAUUUUUUUUUGCUGACUUUUUUUUUUUUUUUGCACUGCAAAUCUAAAUCAGAAAACCACAAUUGUGUAUGAGAAACAUAAUCAGGCCCAGCAGUACACAGGAGGUAAAUUUAGGACCUCUCUUUUCCUAACAUAUCUUCCCCUUUAAGAUCUAAGGUCAAUUAGAACUAAUCAGUUUAAUAAUUUCAUCACGUCUAAUAGUUUUAUUUUAUGGAAAUGCUGAAGCCAAAGACUUCAGGAUUAUUUACAAUAGCAGUACCUUUUUAGACCUGAUAAAUAUUUCUACACUGUUCCAUCUUAAGAAUUAAAUGUUUCAGUUUAAACAUGUUUUACAAGUGCUACUCAGACUAACCCUAAUUUCUUGUUGACUAUAUUUUGUAUAUUGGAUAUUGAUAGAAUAAUCCAAAUUUACUAAUUGACACAUUUAAAAUAAGUACUGCUGCAGAUCAUUUUUUCAGGCCUGUGAACUGAUUCCCAAAAUUUUGCUUUGUAAAACAUUAGAAGUCACAGGCAGUUGCCUCUCCUUAAUUAUUUUAAUAACUUUAAUUCUUUUAAUAACUUUAAUAAACUGAAUGACAAUCUGAUUCUUUAUGCAUUGCUUGCUGAGCUAUCUCAUUUGAGGAUUGUUCCUGGGCAGAAUUUUUCUUUAUUUGGCUUAUCCAUAGAAAAUAAUUUUGGUGGGUUACAAAACAAAAA
rnacentral:lncRNA from 1 species